ACGGCCUGAGAGUCUCUCUGGAACCCAGGGACCUUGUGUCUGCAAUUUUUAGCACUUGCCACCAGAUGGCACAGUGUAGCAAGUAAACACCAACUGACUGCUCCUCAGGAGUCUUACAAGGAGAGUCACACAGAAAAUAGAGGAAGGGACGCAAACACACAGAGGAGAUGGAAAGGUGCACAGGGAGCAGAGAUUUGGGUAAUACAGCCACGUGGAAUGACGGAAGCCACCAGAAGUUGCAAGAGUAAGCAAAGAAUCCCAAACCCUGAUGCCUCAGGGGCGAAGAAGGUAAUCAAAAUGGCAGAAGUGGUUCCAGGAAGAGACACGACUGAGUUCCAGCAGUUGGGUAGCAUUGGAGAUGGACCCAGGUAUUCUCUGUAGAACCUCCCUAGAACCUCAUGAAGAUGUCAAAUGCAACUUGAUAAAGUAUCAACAAGCGGCAGUGAUAUGCAUCUAUAUGCCAGUUGUAUCCAGCAUGUGAAUUCCAACACUCCUGAUCAAUCACAAUCCUGAUUUGCUUCCUGAAGGAUCUAAGCUUGGAGUCAACUCUAGAACACUUGCAUUGAUUGGACUUACUGCAAGGCAGCAUAUUCUCUCUUAUCCACCCCACUUGUUACUCACAGCAUGCAUUUGCAAGAUGUCUGGCCAGGUUUGGGGGUACAAUGUGUGAAUGUAGAAUAGAUUUCUUUUUUUUCCUCUGAGUCAAUUUUCCCGGUUUCCAUGGGGAAAGAGUCCAUGCUUUUGGCCUUAUUAGCACUGUACCAACUGAGCUCACUGACCCAGAUAAAUAUUGUCUGUCUGACAUGUGCUUCAGGAAUAAUAAAUAUG